GGUGAAGGGGCGUACAAAAUGGGGGGCAAUUGGCAUCAGAAUGAGAACGGGAGAAAUGGUUACCAACAAGAGACUAGUCAGGAGACAAAGGCUUGGAACUCUGUACAGGAGAAACCAAUUAAGAAUUAUAGUUCUGUUAGCUCUUGGGAUGACUGGGACGAGAAAGAAAAGAAGUCCGAGCCUGUCAAGGGGACUCAGAAUGGGGAUAGCUGGGCGGGCUGGGAUGAUGUUAAAGAUGACAGUUUUGAUAAUUUCAGCCGCAGCUCGCCAAACAAGGGCAUCAGUCAGAACGGGUGGAGUGAAG
rnacentral:misc_RNA from 1 species